CACGUAGGGUGCGAGCGUUGUCCGGAAUUAUUGGGCGUAAAGAGCUCGUAGGCGGUGUGUCGCGUCGGCCGUGAAAACUUGCAGCUUAACUGUGGGCGUGCGGUCGAUACGGGCAUCACUGGAGUUCGGCAGGGGAGACUGGAAUUCCUGGUGUAGCGGUGAAAUGCGCAGAUAUCAGGAGGAACACCGGUGGCGAAGGCAGCUCGCUGGGACGUUACUGACACUGAGGCGCGAAAGCGUGGGGAGCGAACAGG
rnacentral:rRNA from 1 species